rnacentral:rRNA from 1 species
UCAAGCUGUAAAGGGCGCAAGGGGAAUGCCUUGGCACUGAGAGCCGAUGAAGGACGCGACAAGCUGCGAUAAGCUACGGGGAGCCGCAAAUGGGCUUUGAUCCGUAGAUUUCCGAAUGGGGAAACCCGGCAGAGCAAUACUCUGUCAACGUACACUGAAUACAUAGGUGUACGUGGGGAACCGCCUGAACUGAAACAUCUAAGUAGGGCGAGGAAGAGAAAUCAACCGAGAUUCCGCUAGUAGUGGCGAGCGAACGCGGAAGAGGCCAAACCGAAGGUAGCAAUAUCUUCGGGGUUAGGACUGCAACAUGUAACUUUAAUCUUUAACUGAAUGCUUUGGGAAGAGCAGCGAAACAGGGUGAUAGCCCCGUAAGUGAAAAGGAUUGAGUGCUAGCAGUAUCCAGAGUACCAGCGGACACGUGAAACCCGCUGGGAAGAUGGGGGGACCAUCCUCCAAGCCUAAAUACUACUCAGUGACCGAUAGUGGAGCAGUACCGUGAGGGAAAGGUGAAAAGUACCCCGGGAGGGGAGUGAAAGAGAACCUGAAACCUUGUGCCUACAAGCACCGAGAGCACGUUAAAGUGUGAUCGGGUACUUUUUGUAGAACGGUCCGGCGAGUUAAUAUUUGCAGCGAGGUUAAGUAACUGGAGUUACGGAGCCGCAGCGAGAGCGAGUCUGAAUAGGGCGUAUGAAGUUGCAGGUAUUAGACCCGAAACCGGGUGACCUAUCCAUGAGCAGGCUGAAGCGGUGGUAAGACACCGUGGAGGGCCGCACCCACGUCUGUUGAAAAAGCCGGGGAUGACUUGUGGAUAGCGGAGAAAUUCCAAUCGAACUCGGAGAUAGCUGGUUCUCCCCGAAAUAGCUUUAGGGCUAGCGUUAUUUUAGAUUACCGGAGGUAAAGCACUGAAUGGUCUAGGGGCCGCGAGGUUACCAAAGCCUAUCAAACUCUGAAUGCCGGAUAAUUGAUGAAUAGCAGUCAGACUGUGUGAGAUAAGUCUCAUAGUCAAAAGGGAAACAGCCCAGAUCUACAGCUAAGGUCCCAAAUGAACACUAAGUGGAAAAUGAUGUGAAACUGCGAAGACAACCAGGAUGUUGGCUUAGAAGCAGCCACUCAUUCAAAGAGUGCGUAAUAGCUCACUGGUCGAGUGGUUUUGCGCAGAAAAUGUAACGGGGCUAAGUGUUCAACCGAAGCUUAGGCAUUGUACUUUGUACAUUGGGUAGGGGAGCGUCGUAUGCGGGGCGAAGUCAGAGCGGAAGCACUGGUGGACUGCAUACGAGUGAGAAUGCCGGAAUAAGUAGCGAGAAUUAUGUGAGAAUCAUAAUGGCCGAAAAUCUAAGGUUUCCUGGGGAAGGUUCGUCCGCCCAGGGUUAGUCGGGAGCUAAGCUCAGGCCGAAAGGCGUAGGCGAUGCACAUACGGUAGAAAUUCCGUAACCACCGAACUUUAAGCUAGAGGGACGCUUUCUUUAAGGUUAUCCCGGGCGAUGGUUGCCCCGGGCGUAAGGGACCGAAAUUUAGUAGGGAAGUAACUGGCGAGAGAGACGAGAAAAGCUCUAGUGUAUACUAAGGUGCCCGUACCGCAAACCGACACAGGUAGAAGGGAUGAGUAUUCUAAGGCCAACGGGAGAAGGGUUGUUAAGGAACUCGGCAAAUUGGCCCCGUAACUUCGGGAUAAGGGGCGCCUGCGAGAGCAGGCCGCAGUGAAAAGGCCCAAGCGACUGUUUAGCAAAAACACAGCUCUCUGCUAAAUCGAAAGAUGACGUAUAGGGGGUGACGCCUGCCCGGUGCUGGAAGGUUAAGGGGAGUGCUUAGCGCAAGCGAAGGUGCGAACUUAAGCCCCAGUAAACGGCGGCCGUAACUAUAACGGUCCUAAGGUAGCGAAAUUCCUUGUCAGGUAAGUUCUGACCCGC